CCAGCUCCAAAAGCGUAUAUUAAAGUUGUUGCAGUUAAAAAGCUCGUAGUUGAAAUUCUGAUUGUAUUGGGCCUCUGCAGUUCUGCGAAGGAACCAGCAGUCAUCCGCUUGCAAAUACAUGUUCUUCCUUAAUCGGUAGACUGUAUAAGUAAGCAAUUUACCUUGAGAAAAACAGAGUGUUCCAGGCAGGUUUGUCCGGAAUGCAUUAGCAUGGAAUAAUAGAAUAUGACUAGAGUCGAUUUGUUGGUUAAAGGCUUUAGUAAUGAUUAAUAGGAACAAUCGGGGGCAUUGGUACUCGUCAGUCAGAGGUGAAAUUCUAAGAUUUGACGAAGACUAACUGAUGCGAAAGCGUUUGCCAAGAAUGUUUUCA
rnacentral:rRNA from 1 species